GCUGUGCUCUCCAGAGGGGGGACGACAGCCCCUCGUUGACGCUCCCCUGGAGGAUAUUAUGAAACUUAACAAGGGGGCUAUUUUAAAUUCCCCAAAGGAUUAUGGAGAAAGCACGUGGCAGGAAGAGGAGGCCCCUGCUCAGAUGUGUCCCCUGACUGAAACCCAAACAUGACCUGGAGGCUAAAAAUAACACAGAGCGAAGAUCAGACCAGAGGAAACUCAGCAACUUUCUUUUCCAGUCUUUCCAACCUGCGUCUACACAGCUGGUGUGUUGACGAACCGGCUUUAGAAACAGCUGGAGCACCUCGACGUGCUUUUAAAACACUCGAACACUCGCACUGAUCAAACUAUGGUACGUGGAGCCAGGUCGAGGUUGAAAACACCAGUCUAAAGUUUGUGACCUGAAAUUACAUAACUUGGCCCAAGGCGGAGCAAAAAUAUCCAGCCUAACAGCCGUCUCCUUUUACAGCUGUGACAUCUCCCGGACGAUCACUGCGUACAUGUCUUUAAAUAUGAUCAAGUCUACUGUUUAGAUACGGAAGGGGAUGUAGCUCAGUGGUAGAGCGCAUGCUUUGCAUGUAUGAGGCCCCGGGUUCAAUCCCCGGCAUCUCCACACUUUUCCUUUUCCGCUUCCGGGGCCGGGAGCUGCUUUCGUUACAGGGAAAUCUGGCAAUAUCGUAAAAA